AACUUUAGUCGAAAAGUCAUCAACAACAAAGUUGUAUAACCAUCAAGAUCUAUAACUUUUAUUUUGGUCAUUUCUUCAUUCGACGAAGAGAUAGUAAUAUUUUCACAAAAUUUACAUAUCUCUCUUAUAGUUUAUAAAACCAUAUGAGAGAUAUGUAAAUUUUAUGAACAAUGUUACUGUUAAUUUGUCGGACGAAGAAAUGACCAAAACAAAAGUUAUAGAUCUUGAUGAGUUAUACAACUUUAUUGUUGAUGAUUUUUUCAACUGAAAUC
rnacentral:pre_miRNA from 1 species